ACGGGCAAGGGACAAGUUACCCCAGCGUUUCCCCACCACCCUCUUGCCCCCACUGCCAUUAAUCAUGGCACUGCACUGUAAAAGAUACCUGAGGUCCGAAAAGGGGGUGGGGCUAAACGGCACUGACUUGCCAGUUGCAAGCAGCACGGAAGAAUGGAGGGGAUGUGAGCAGCAGAACAGCCAAACAUGUUUCCAGGGUGAUGGGAGCACGGCAGCCGCGCACCUCGUUGCUAAGAGCCGGGACGUCAGCGCUAACGCGCAUGAGAAUGAUGUCAUCGCGCCACAGCAGAGAGCAGGAUAGCAGCGCAUUACACUUGGGUCCCAACAGAUUACUGAGAAGACGGCAUAAAUAUUCGGAAGCAUGCUUACCUCGUUAUUUAGCGUGGAUGAUCUGUCUGGAGGAAGUCAGCCACUGUACAGUGCUUAAUUAGGAUAGAAAAAGAAUAUGAACCGCGAGCUAGCCUUACCUCAGGGUACCCGUACUUAUCAUCAG